GUGGGGAAUAUUGCACAAUGGGCGCAAGCCUGAUGCAGCAACGCCGCGUGAGGGAUGACGGCCUUCGGGUUGUAAACCUCUUUUAGUAGGGAAGAAGCGAAAGUGACGGUACCUGCAGAAAAAGCACCGGCUAACUACGUGCCAGCAGCCGCGGUAAUACGUAGGGUGCAAGCGUUGUCCGGAAUUAUUGGGCGUAAAGAGCUCGUAGGCGGCUUGUCGCGUCUGCUGUGAAAACCCGAGGCUCAACCUCGGGCCUGCAGUGGGUACGGGCAAGCUAGAGUGCGGUAGGGGAGAUUGGAAUUCCUGGUGUAGCGGUGGAAUGCGCAGAUAUCAGGAGGAACACCGAUGGCGAAGGCAGAUCUCUGGGCCGUAACUGACGCUGAGGAGCGAAAGCAUGGGGAGCGAACAGGAUUAGAAACCCGGGUAGUCC
rnacentral:rRNA from 1 species